UUUGGGGUCUUCUCCCGGCGAGUUCUCUUCUUUUUUCAUACUCUCGCGUGUGUGGAUGUUUUCAUUUUCAUACGGACCGUUGGAUUCCUAUCACUCUCCUUUCAUCCAGGUCGUACACGACGAUACAUGCACCUUAAAUCACGAGCUCCGUCUUCUCUUUCUUCAUGUUCACGUUUCACGAUUUCAAUCCCAACUUUUGUCUUUCUUCGGUUUUGCCUCUGCUUUCUUUCGUUGAUUCUAUGUGACCUGCAAUUUCCGUUGUUCGAGAAUAUGCCAAAUCACAAAAUACCUUUUUCCCGUUCAUGCAUCUUCCCGGUCAGCCUCAUUCGGUUUUACCUCUGUCCACAAUCGCUCUCAAUUUCUCGAAUCCUGCUUGCAACGGGUUAUUGGGGUGGAUUUCGAUUAUUUUGCUCUCAAUACUUGCUCCGAUUCUUCCGCCGUUACAGGUGAUUUGGGUGUGUUUCGACACUUCUACUUUUCAUACUUCUCAUUUAAUUUUGAUUUAGUGAAUUUCGUUCGUUAUAAUUUUUUUGUUGUUUGGAGUUUAUUUCCCUAUUCUAGCAAUUUGUUUUCUAUCUCUAAAUUUUCAGACGAUGAAAAGAGUAUUUUGCAUGCCUGGGUUCUUCGAUUUAGGUAUACUGUGGUGUACUCCGUUACUUUGAUUUUGUUAGCUCUUUCUGUUGGUUUAUCGUGCUUUGUUUCUGCUGGUCAAGAAAAAACACUGGAUUUGUGCAGUUGUUCUUUUACCUACAGGUUCACUUUUUGCUUUGAUGGGUUUGGUGUUUGGUCUUUUAUCUGUUCUUCUUCAAUCUACACUCCAACUCUGACGACUGAGGUGAUAUUUUUUUAAGUUUUUUCCAUGUUUAAUUUCGCUUAAUGCCCUCUGUUUUAUUUAUCCCCGUAACACUGAAUCUGUGCGGUGUCAACCAUCCGUGUGUUAAUACCUAACAAUUGGUAUGGCAAAACCUAACAAUUUAGAAAACAUAGGAUUUUAUCCUCUGUUACCACAAUCUCAAUGAGAUCUUCAAGAUUUUAUGCUUUUUUUUUGGUUGAUUUUGUAGCUACUACGAAUUCUGGUGCGUGGUGUUUUUCUUUCCAUGAAGAAUUCUAUGAAUUUGAUUUUACAAUUAAAAUGCGAACUUGCGUUAGUCUUGAUGGUGUGGAUUGAGAUUUUGAAGUUAUUGCUCAUUGAAUUAAUAGUCAGAUUGUUGAUAUUUCAUUUUUAUUUAUCUCCUCCUUUGAUUGAGGAGGUUCGGCCAUUGAAAAGUAAACCAGGUGAAGAUGGAAGGGUAAUUUUGGUGAAGUUGGAUCAAAAGAACUGAAUGAGCUCUGCUCAGCUUUGGAGCGCUGACAUGGAGUUUGAUUAGAGAAAACAAGAGCCAAUAUCAGAACUCUCACUGCAUUUUCUACCAACACCAUAAGCAAGAAUAUAUCUUCUUUGAUCACUGCUAUAAGAACUCAAGCAUGGGAGUACUAGAUCUAUGCCUUUCUCUGGUAUGCAUCAGUGGUGGCAAUAGUCAUUCAAGGGUGGACUAUGACCAGUGACUUGCAUAUUGGAUCCUAUAUUCCUUCCUAACUGUUACAGAUACUUUCCUUCAAUCCAUUCUAGAAUGGUAAUUAGGAACAAAGUUUCUCUAUCUAUAUUUAAUUUUCAUUUUCUAUGUAAGUUUCUUUUCAGGUUUCUCUUUUGGACCUUUUGGUUGGUGGUCUGAUUAUUUGCAUUAGACAUUAAUACAGCCAGUACUUUGUUAGCAUGGAUGACUCUAUUCCACAAAAAUCACAGGACGCAAAAGGGAAACUUACCAUGAACCUCUGCUAAGCAAAAGUCAAAACUAUGUAAAUUGUGAGGGGAGGAAAGGAUUUGUUCCCUUUGCUGCCAAUGCAAAAUGCAUUCAAGGUGGACAUGAUAACACUUGACAAUGCUGCAAGGGCAUUGCUUGGCAAUGGCUACGAUUCAACAGCUAUGAGAAAUAUGCAAUGUCGUGGCUGUGGCCAAAAUUUUGAGCGCCUGUGUUAGGAUCAAAGCUGCUGAUGUAACAAUGGAAGAUACAAAGGAAGCUGAUAAUCUGCUGUUUAGGUAAUUGUGAAUUUCUAAUUUCGUGCAGAUAUAACUUUCCCCAUGUUUUCAUCAGUAUGCAUAUAUGGGUGUUUAGUACCUAUGUUAUUUAGUAGUAUUUAAUCCCAAGGUUGCUUAUGUACCACUCACUUUCGAGUAAUGGUUCCUGUGUCUUAGGGUGGAGUCAAUGAAGAAUAAUGAUCAAAUAUCAUUUAUAUAAUUGCUUUUUGAGAGAGAAUAACUUAUACUAAUUUUUAUAAAGCAAAAUACUAAUUUUGCUUCAUGCUUGAUGGUUGCUGUCAAUUUCUUACAACUUUUGAUCCUGUCAACAAGAAGUUCUGCUGCUGCUGCUAAACAAGAAAAAAUAUAUCAGAAGAAGAAAACAAGUGGUGGGUUAAUUCCUUGCAAAUAAGAGCCAAACCCAGUUGUAGAAAGAUGUCAUCACUUGAAUUUAAGCAUAGAAUUAGUCCUCCACACCAUAUCGUGACUGAUCAGCCAGUGAAUAUUAAGACUCAAGAAAGGAGCAGUCACAUUGAUAUGUGUUUCCAUUGUAAUGAAGCUCCAUCACAAAGAAACAUAACAUACAUCCAUUCUAGAGAGCAUGUUUUCCCUCCCCUUUGUUACAUGAAUUUUGAACAGAAAAAUUUGUAACUCCUGUUUAUAGGUUUUGCAAUCGGGAGCAGAUGAACUGUAAUCCUUAGUUUUUGCAGACUGUUUUAAGUUUCGACUCUUAUGACCGUUCAUACGUGUCAGUAGUACUUAUACCCAACUACUCCAACACAA